UACGAAGGUGGCAAGCGUUACUCGGAAUUACUAGGCGUAAAGGGCAGGUAGGUGGUUUGGUAAGUCUAUUGUGAAAGCUCCCGGCUUAACUGGGAGAGGUCAAUGGAUACUGCCAGACUUGAGUAUAGGAGAGGGUACUGGAAUUCCCGGUGUAGCGGUGAAAUGCGCAGAGAUCGGGAGGAACGCCAAUGGCGAAAGCAGGUACCUGGACUAUUACUGACACUCAGCUGCGAAAGCUAGGGGAGCAAACAGG
rnacentral:rRNA from 1 species